AUUGAACGCUGGCGGCAGGCUUAACACAUGCAAGUCGAGCGGAGCGAGGGUGCUUGCACCUUAGCUUAGCGGCGGACGGGUGAGUAAUGCUUAGGAAUCUGCCUAUUAGUGGGGGACAACAUUCCGAAAGGAAUGCUAAUACCGCAUACGCCCUACGGGGGAAAGCAGGGGAUCUUCGGACCUUGCGCUAAUAGAUGAGCCUAAGUCGGAUUAGCGAGUUGGUGGGGUAAAGGCCUACCAAGGCGACGAUCUGUAGCGGGUCUGAGAGGAUGGUCCGCCACACUGGGACUGAGACACGGCCCAGACUCCUACGGGAGGCAGCAGUGGGGAAUAUUGGACAAUGGGCGGAAGCCUGAUCCAGCCAUGCCGCGUGUGUGAAGAAGGCCUUUUGGUUGUAAAGCACUUUAAGCGAGGAGGAGGCUACUUAGAUUAAUACUCUGGGAUAGUGGACGUUACUCGCAGAAUAAGCACCGGCUAACUCUGUGCCAGCCGCCGCAGUAAAAC
rnacentral:rRNA from 1 species